CCGUUGUGAUUAUUGUUCCUCCAAACAAGUCAUAUUUCAUUGCUUCAUUUCUAAGAUAAUUGUUGAUAGAAUUAAUGACUAAGUUUAAAUACAAUUGAACCAUAUAGAAUAACAAGUUGACGACACCUUUUUUAUCCUGGUUGCUUUCUCUGUCUCUCUAUUGCUGGUUUCAAACCAAGUAUUGAAAUGUAAGAUGCAUGCAUGCAUCAAAGUCAAACCAACCAACCACUUUGAAAGCGGGUAGUUUGUGAUAAACCAGAUAUGAGAAGCUUCUUAUUCCAUCCAUGCAAAAGGGGUUCCUUAUCAUUUUUGCGGACAAGAAUGAGUUGGCUAAGUUUGGGUUAUUAUACUUUUGCGGCCGCAAAAUUACGGUUGCGGUAGUGUAUAUACUACGCCAAAAAUAAAAUUAGGCAGCACACCUUAGGCAGCGCUUCUUACCAAAAGCGCUGGUAAAAGUCCUUUUAAAAACACGGAAAUUUUGACAUAUACCUUAGACAGCGCUUUCUAUAAAAGCGCUGCCUAAAGGGGUGAAGUGGUUUCAAGAAACGCUGCUUAAGGGUGGUUUUAGAAAGCGCAUUGAGAAAGCGUUGCUAAAGGAUGGGCUUACGCAGCGCUAUGUAAAAGUGCUGCCUAAAGGGUGGGCUUACGCAGCGCUUUUCACUAAUGGGUUUUUAUAUUUUUUCAUUUUUCAUUUUCUUUUCAUUCUAACGCAAAACUCUCUCUCUUAUCUCCAUACUCUCUCGUCUUCUUCCUAUCAUUUUCUUCUCCGCCGCUUUCAACAACAAUCCUAACCCUAAAUCAUGCUCACGCCCAGAAUCGACCAAGACCCACAUGCAAUCUCGCAUCGUUUUUGUUGGUCUUUCAUCGUUUCUAACUACACAACGAGAAGUGGUACCCUAAAACCCAGCCACACUGUUGAAGCCAAACAAUCAUCGCAGAAGUUGCUUGCAAAGAUGAAGGUCGUCACCUAUGGUUACUAUCAUUCUAGCGAAGUUGGAUUUGACCCAGCAACUAUUGUUGUUAGAGUUCCAUUUUAUCGCAAAUUCUGGUUUGCGUCAUCUUCCCCACUUUUUAGGGUUCUUGAUUUUUGAUAUUGUUCAGGGUUCUGCAGAUUCGGUUAAUAAAUCAAAAUAGAAGAUUCAAUCGCGGCCGAUGAUUUCGUCGAUGAGCUCAAUUUCGAUUUCGAUUGAAGCUUCAGGGCAGUGGAUGGCUUCAGAAAGCUGCAGAUGCUUUGUCUAAGUUAGAACAGUCUCCUCGGCCGGAAGUAGCCAAGGGUGUACAAUCUUCAAAGAAACGAGAUGUUACUUUGAAGCCGUUGAUUGAUGCUUUGGUUUAUGGUGGUUUGCUUUGUCAUGAGGAUAAGGAUGUCAAACUUGUGGUUGCCAUUUGCGUCAUUGAAUUACUUAGAGUCAUGGCUCCUGAACCUCCUGGUUGGUUAACGCGGUUCUUUAAUCUGUUUUUGUAAUUUGAGAUACAGGCAUUGCGCAGGGCUCCUUUUCAUGUUGGUGCAAUUGAAAAUAAUUUGAUUGCGACUUUGUUUAUAAAUCGAGCUACUGUUUUGCAUAAAAUGAAUCUUUUAGUAGAAUGCUUGCGAGAUUGCAAUCGAGCUCUUCAGAUAUGUCCAAGCUAUUCAAAGGCAUGGUAUAAGAGAGGAAAGGCAAAUGUCUCCUUGGGAAAUAAUAGAGAUGCAAUCUGUGACCUAAAUAUAGCUAAGAGUGUCGAAUCAUCCACAGGUGGUAAGAAACAAAUAGAAAGUGAGGUGAAAAUUGUUUUAGACCAAUCCAAAAGCGCAAAUAUAGCAGUACAGCCGCGACACAAGGAAAAUAGCUUGAAUACAGUGGGUAAGAAGCUUUCCUUGUUAAACAACUGGGAAAUUGGUCAAGACUUUUUUUGCUCUUUUGUUAUGGUAAUAGCAUUUGAAGUAUGUUUAAAAGUAAAGUGUUGCAUUUUGAAUUCAUCAUAUUUCACUUUUGGACUCUGUUAUGCUUAUGUUCGUAAAUUAAGUCUUGGAUACCUUUAGGAAAAAUAAAUUGCCUAAAUUUAAACCUGAGAAAAUAGUUUUAGACGCAAAAGAAUGGAAAAUGAAUGAAACAAGGGUUCACUGAUCCAAUAAACUUAGCCAAGAGACCCUUUUCCUUCUAGAAUUAAAUUAUGCACCUUAUCUGGACUAGGGAGGACAACUCACUGUUUUGGAGCAGAAGUAGACUUAAACUUCCCCUUACACAUGUAAGGUCACUCACUUGAACAUCAAGAGGACCUUACUUUAUUCUUCUCAUUCCUGGAAUGAAAUGUCUGAAAAUGUCUGGGAUUUUAUGCUAGAAGAGUUAAAGGUGUUUCUUGAUAUAACCCUUCUCCAUUCUCAGAACUUUACCUCGAUAACUAAUUCACAUCAAAGGCUUCACUUUAUACUAAUAAAUUAGUAUGCUAGGAAACUUCAAUCGAGAUUUCUAAAAUAUAAACCUGUUCGGAAACAAUUGGGGCUUUGUCGGUCACAUUUUUUUAGUCCUGACUUCUAUUCAGUGCUCUUUUACAUCUGGUGUAAUUUGUAUGUAUUCUGUUCUAUGAGUAUGGUGUAGUCCUUACUUAUAAUUAUGAAAGAUCCAUUUUUUCUCCUUUUGAGAUAGUAAGAUGAUACAGUGCAUUUGUGGCAGGUGAGAUGCCUCAAAUAAAGCUGCAAAGGGCAUAUAGAUGUUUAAAUUAAAUAUUCUCAUUGUAGGUUUUCGGAGUUGAAUAUGAGUGGUCUAAAACUAGCCAAACCGGUAGUCAAUAGCCUUUGCCAGCUCACAGGGACCUUGACUUUAAAACCUUUUCAUUAACUUAAAUAUAUUAGCCAAUAUUAAACUUUUCAUUAACUUAAAUAUAUUAGCCAAUAUAAAACUAGACAUAACAUCUUUUGUUACUAUUAUUAUUAUUAUAUUAGAUUUUAAAACCUUUUCAUUAACUUAAAUAUAUUAGCCAAUAUUAAACUUUUACAUAUUUAAAUGUAUUAUUAUAAAAUAUAAUUGAAAUAGAAUGUUAUAUAAAUUGUAAAAUGUCAUAUUAUAUCUUAAAAUAGAACUUAAUUUCAUUUGUCAAUUCACUUGUUAGUUAUAUUUAUAUUUUAUAACUUCUUUUUGCAACUUGUGCUUCUUAUCAACUUGCUGCAUCAGUAAUCCGAAAUUCUGCUCAGGAUGAUGAGCUGAACCUCAUAAUUUGCAGCUUUUUAUCUUCUUGUAUAUAUGACAGAGAUGCCGUGGGCAGCGGGCUCAAAGAAUUUUACCAUGAAAUCAUCUUUCAAGUUUUUCAGUGUGCGCCUCAAAUGCUUCUCGCAAUCAUCCCUUGCUUAAUUGAAAGUUAUCGGCUGAUCAGGUUGAUGUUCGGUUAAAAGCCGUUAAUUUGGUGGGGAAACUUUUUGCACUUCCUGAACACCGUGUUGCAUAGAAGUUUCAUGAUCUUUUUUUGGAGUUUCUGAAAAGAUUUUCUGAUAAGUCUGUGGAUAUACGAAUUAGUGCUCUACAAUGUGCCAAAGCUUUCUAUGCAGCAGAUCCUUUUGGAAAGGACAAAGCACUGGAUACACAUAUUUUCUCUUUUCAGUCCUUUUCAUGAAAAGGCACUGAAUAGUAUUUUGAUUCAAAAGAGAAGGCUGCAGAAUGAGAUGAAAAACUAUUUGGCUUUACAAAAGAAAUUAAAGGUAAAAGGCAAGGAAAAACUAUCUGGCCCUUUUCUAAAACCAGACAUUAAAUAAUUCUUCAAUAUUAUGCAACAACUUCGUUGUGGUGUGAGGAUACUUUGAUGUACCCUUAUCUUAUGAAGAAGGCAUUUGAAUACUCUCAAGAAUGAACAACUUGUCUUAGCUCUUAGGAAGAAUUCACCAUGAAAAUGCUUGUAUUUGUUGACAUAACUUAGGUUUUUUUUUAAAAUUGAAUCCUCUUGAAUAGAAUCCAUGUUGACAUAACUUAGGUUCUGAGAUUUUGUAUGAGUUAUUGUUCUCGGUAUUCUCUUAGUGUAUGGAUUGAAUAUGUAUAUUGAUGUUGUUGUUGUUUCAAAUUUUAUAUUGAAGCUACAAAUUUGUUUCAAGUUUAUGAAAUUUUGGUGCAAAUUCUGGUAAAAACCUGGUGCAAAAAUGGAGAAAAUCUGGUGCAUAUAUGCUGACUUAUAAUAGGCAGCGCUUUGUUUUAAGUGAAAACAAUUUUUAGAUAGGGGGAAUAGACGGCGCUUUUAAUGAAAAGCGCUGUCUAAAGUUGAGAAAAGUGCUGCCUAAAGGGGACCUUUAGCAGCGCUUUUAGAAAAAGCGCUACCUAAAUUUGGCCUUUAGCAACGCUUUAUAAGUAAAAGUGCUGGCUAAAGGGGGUCUUUAGUAGCGCUUUCAAGGUGAAAAAAAACGCUGCCUUUACCUACGGCAGCGGUGGAAUAGACAGCGCUUUAAAGCGCUGCCUAAAGCCAAAAAAAGC